CACGUUUCCACGAUCCCCGCAUCGAAGAUAUGGUAGGUUGCAUACAUAUGUUGUAUCACGCCUCUUUGGGGUAGGCAAAAACUACACUUUUGGCUGGUCACGAUCCUUACAUCGAAGAGUUUGUUGGAUGCAUACUAUGAAUCACGCCUUUUUGGGGUAGGCAGAAACUACAUGAUUUUACUGGUCACCCUCCUUGCAUCCAAGAUAUCUAUACAUACGUCGGAUCACGCCUCUUUGGGGUAGACAGAAACUACAUGAUUUUAGAGGAAAGUCACCAAAUAUGGAAUAGUAUCCUAAUAUGGAAUACCUUCAUUUCUCUAAGACUAUAAGUAUAGAAAUGCAACACUCGAUCAUCUUCUGUUUCAUUCGGUCUACUAACUAUCGCACUCACACCAUCGAGUCAGUUGCGCGAACGCUUCACGUGUGGCAGGCGUGUUUUAUUUUGUUAUCGUGCAGAAAAUUUUAAAGAAUGUCCGGUUCACAAUCAACCAAACGAAAAACCUGGGAUGAAGAAAAAAUGGCACAAGCUAUAAAAUUCGUCCGGGAAAAGAAAAUGGGGUAUUUGAAAGCGGCACAGCAUUUUCAAGUGCCUAGGAAAAUGAUUUAGAAGAUAAAAAUAUGAAGAGACAAGAAAAAGAAAAUAAACUAG